rnacentral:rRNA from 1 species
UAGGGAAUCUUCGGCAAUGGACGGAAGUCUGGCCGAGCAACGCCGCGUGAGUGAAGAAGGUUUUCGGAUCGUAAAGCUCUGUUGUAAGAGAAGAACGAGUGUGAGAGUGGAAAGUUCACACUGUGACGGUAUCUUACCAGAAAGGGACGGCUAACUACGUGCCAGCAGCCGCGGUAAUACGUAGGUCCCGAGCGUUGUCCGGAUUUAUUGGGCGUAAAGCGAGCGCAGGCGGUUAGAUAAGUCUGAAGUUAAAGGCUGUGGCUUAACCAUAGUACGCUUUGGAAACUGUUUAACUUGAGUGCAAGAGGGGAGAGUGGAAUUCCAUGUGUAGCGGUGAAAUGCGUAGAUAUAUGGAGGAACAUCGGUGGCGAAAGCGGCUCUCUGGCUUGUAACUGACGCUGAGGCUCGAAAGCGUGGGGAGCAAACAGGAUUAGAUACCCUGGUAGUCCACGCCGUAAACGAUGAGUGCUAGGUGUUAGACCCUUUCCGGGGUUUAGUGCCGCAGCUAACGCAUUAAGCACUCCGCCUGGGGAGUACGACCGCAAGGUUG